rnacentral:miRNA from 17 species
CAUGCCUUGAGUGUAGGACCGU